GACUAAAAUCCGUUGGCUUUAUUGACCGUGAGGGUUCAAGUCCCUCUACCCCCA
rnacentral:tRNA from 1 species